GACCUGGAGGUGGAGUGGUCCAUAUCCGCGCUUGAUGAAUUAUGAAUGUCUCCAUGCGGAACACCCCUGUUCGAUUCGGGGCCAGGUCG